UGUAGCUUAAUAUAAAAUUAUUAUUUAUGAAGCUUAUUAAUUUAGAAAGAUCAUUUUCAAAGAUUAUAUCAAUUAUUAAAAUUAGAAUAGGAAUUUUUUGUUCAAUUUCUUCAAUAAUUGAAACUUUCAAAUCAAUUUGUCUGUAUUACCAUCCUGUUUUUAAUUGUAAGUUCAUAACACAGGUAAACCAGGAGAUUAAUUGCAUCCCAUCAAUAUCCAGUAAAUUUAAUAUUUGAUAUGGUAUUUUAUUGCUAUAUAUUGUUCUGUUAAAUUUGCUCAAAAAUUUCCAUUAAGUAACUUGAAUAUAUUUUAUGAUCUACUUCACUUGGGAUACAGAUAAUAGUUGAAUUUGUCAUAUAUCAGUGUUUCUCAACCUUUUUUGGCCUGCGGACUGGUAAAGUUUGUGAAAAAAAUUUCGCGGACCGGUGGUUUUUAUAACAAACAAAUUUUACUAGGUAUUAAAGAACUACUAC
rnacentral:lncRNA from 1 species